GUUAAGAUCAAAAGACAUUCAGUUAGUGUCCUAAAGUGAAAACUGUGGUGCUCCCAAACCUUUCUGCUGAGGUUCUUAAAAGAUGGUAGUAAUAUCUAUUCACAACUCUCAAGUGCCAUCAGUGGACAAAUGAUACUAUCAUCUGGAUAGAUCUAAUGGAUUUCUUUAACUUCCUUUUGCUAUUCUGGAAAUUUGUUCUAUGUUUGGAAGGGAAUCUUGCAGUCUGCAGCUCUGAAUUGUGCAUUGUUCUAACCAUUUACACACUUGUCUAUUUCAG
rnacentral:misc_RNA from 1 species